rnacentral:lncRNA from 1 species
CCAGGGAUGUCUUCGAUGAUUGAAAGACCACCAAUAACAUCUUCUGAAGAAUGCUUUUUGAUGAUGGUCUGGAAAAGGUUGAAGGAGAGAGCUCUGCGAAGCAACAGAAGCGGAUGGUAUCCUCCAUAAUUCGGAUAAGUUCUUUCUUCUUCCUCUCUUUUCUCUUUUUCCUUUUUUUUUGGACUUCUCACUCUCUGAAUGUAGAUAGGCC